rnacentral:tRNA from 1 species
GGUCCAGUGGCGCAAUGGAUAACGUGUCUGACUACGGAUCAGAAGAUUCUAGGUUUGACUCCUGGCUGGCUG